UUUAAUAAAACCCGAGGUCUAGCUCGUCGCCCAGAGGGCUAGGCUAGCCCUCCCCCUCCUGCUGCCGCCGUCCCGAGGCCCUCAGCUCCGUGCAGUCCCUUCGCCGACUCCAGCCGCGGACUAGGCUAGUCCUCCUCCUCCUGCCGCCGUCCCGAAGCCUACAGCCCCUUCACCGCCUCCAACCGCGCUCCGCCUAGGACAGCCCUGGCUUAGGACGUCUAGCUCCUGCGCGCGGCCGUGGCUCAUUGACAGCCACCGCCGUCUUCCCCUCCUCGCUGCUCCGCGCGCGGCGUCCUUCAGUGCCCACCCACGCCGAUACCCUGCUCAGCGGGGACUAGACGGUGGUCUGGAGGUCUCGUGGACCCAAGAGACGAAACUUAAAGGAGCGAUCGAGGGUCAGGUGGGGCUGGAAGUGCCCUAGUUAUAAAACACCGGGGACGUGAAUCCGCUGGUACCACUCGCUGGUAGGUUGUUUGGUCGUACCGAUGGACGAGGAGGAGUACUGGUGUAGAGGGACGCGACAUGGCACUACCAGGCUGAUCCACGGCGGCCCGCAGUCGAAGGGGCGGAUCCGGAACUUCACCCUCUGCCUCCUGCCUGCGCCCUCUGCCUCCCUAGGCCCCACCUCCGAGCUUCAGGAACGUCCACCUCCGCCUCGAGGUACGGACCGUCCAUCUCAAGGUUCCGGUACCGCUCCGUCUAGUUACGUAGCUACAGCGACGGGCGCGCCGCCGCCUAGGAUAGGUACGGGGUCGGUAACCAGUACGAGGACGAGCCGCUAGGAGAGGCAGCAGGUUGGCAACCAGGACGAGGACGAGAAGGCGUCCGGGGCCGGACCACCCUCCGGCGGUAUGUCGUGUGUGCCAUCCGACCUGCCCUCAUGCUCGAGUAGAGGUGGCGCGUAUCACUCUGAGACAAGUACAACAUGACGACCGGUAUGUAGUAAAGGAGCUGGUAGUUCGGGUCCACUCUCUAUAAGUGGAGUUUCUUUCGGGUCCGCUCUCUCUGAGAAUACGUCCCUCGAACGACAUCUAGGCAAACAAAGACAAAGAAUUGGUUGACGCCUAAAAGGACAGGUAAUCGACUAUCAACCCAUGGAAACUAACUAAACUGUCACCUUCUAUAUUAUUAAAGCGACCGGACCUGAACCUACCUGGCCAAUCAAAUGAUAUCAUAAUGAGACAGUUCCCUAAAACAAACGUAUACAAAUAUAUUAUGAGGGAGGCAGGGUUUUAGGAACAGAAUCUAAACAGAUCUAUGCCUACCUGGAUUAUGAUUUUGCACUGAAGUAUGUAGGCAUAAACCUGUUUAAAUUCUGUUCUUAAAACCCUGCCUCCCUCAUGAAGUGUUACGAAAUGACGAUAUUAAGUUGCGUUAAAUAAAUGACUUAACACAUAUUUUGUCUGCUUCUACAACUUAAGAGAAGGUACAAAGGGUCUGACUUAAGCGUUACCCUUUCCUCUACUAACGCCGUGUGUUAAAUUUAUAUGGUUUUAUAGGACUUUUUAUAUAAACCACAGAUCUUAAGACAAACAGAAACCUAUGUAAAAGUGCUAAGUGAUUGAGGCCAUCACUCAUUUUUAUGUAUUUUGAUGCACUGUUACAAAACAUUUAAAAGCACAGACAGCACGCAAGGCUGCUAAGGUGAUCGUCUCCGGGAGGGGACGGGAUGGCGUCUGGUGACAUCAUCGCCAGAGGAACCUCAGGACUUCGACGAGUUCCCGUAGCAGGAACCACACGGAGGAGCUCCGAACUACGAAAGAUGUCCUUUUUUACGAAGGAAAAGAACUCUACUCCUUUUAAUGAAGGGAAAGAUGUCCUUUUCUACCAAGACAAUUUAUUUAAUGAAGGGUUCGAUUUCCGAGCACCGAGGCUUCAUGAUUAUAAGAGAUUCUACUGGGUAGAAAAUCUGUAGAACCUUCUAAUCGUUUACAUGUCUCCCAUAGUCAUAACGAUCUAACUAACCUUAUGACCACCGUUACUAGCACUAGGAAAAUAAAUUCGAAAGUUGUACGGUUCCUCACUUUCCAAGUAGAAGAAUGAAAGUUGAUCCCUUUCACCACCCUAGAAGAAAAUUACGUUAUCCCUUAAUAGAAAAAACAUAGUCCAUUUAUCAAGGAAAGAGUGUGAAAAAAGUCUGGCUCUAGUACAUGACGACAACACACCACAAGAUACGAGACGACACAAGGAAAAACGAAAAAAAACCCGAAGAGUAAGAAGAAACCGUGGACGCGAGACGAACCCCUUUGAAACAUGUACCGUUAUGUAUCUGACCUUAACUCUAAACCUCGUUAAAACAAGCAAAAGGAAACAUGACUACAACGGUAAUAAACACACUACCUCGGCAAUAUAACAUGUUUCCCUUCUCUAUCACUCUCUCUAACCUAUCUUUAAUGAUUGAUGACAUAAACACAACAUUAACAAACAACAGUUUCGAAUAACAAAUAACCAACAACAACGUCUAACAACACUACCUUUGAUUUAAAACUAAUAAAGUUUCAUUACAGUCCAACUUAUUAAACUUGAUCUAAUGUUUACAAGUAGAGCUACUGCUACUCAGACUUCUGCUAAUUGUACUAGUACGUUAAAAAUCACUGAUUUUGUCCACCCACUCCAUAAAAAUGAGGGCAACGUUGCGUGCCCGUAAACACGAUCAAAUUAUGAUUCUUGUAUAACAAAGUAUAUGAAUUUCUUUUAAACACCGGUUUACAGUACUGUAGAGGUUUAUAUUCUGGAUGUAUAUAAUAUAAACAUAGUAAAAAAGACAGAACAAGAUACUUUUUUUACAAUCUGGCCUUGAGAAGAUCAUCAUUUUCUUAGGUUUAUGUUUAUAUACUACAUAUAUAGGACGUAUAUAGUAUUUCCUC
rnacentral:rRNA from 1 species